AGGGGGUGAGUUGCCCGAAUCCAUCCAAAAUCAGGUUGCAUUGGAUUCAUCUCAGUCACGUUGUAGGCCAAGAGAAUUUCUUGCUCCCUUGGUACACUCAUGAUUAUUUUGUAAUUUUGAUAAUUCCAGGCACUGAAAAUCGUAUUUAAAUGACUAUCUUUGGGUUUGAUUGAACUUUAAAUCUUUGUAAAUUCGGUCAAAUGAGAAAAUUUAAUCGAGAGACGAGGUGAUUUUCUUGUUUGCUCACUAGAUUGUUCUUUCAUUGUAUGGUUUCUUGUGGACCUUCAUUUGAGAGUCUGUCAAGCAUUUUGUCAUACAUCUGGCUCAUAGCAUCAAUCAGCUAUUGGAUCAUUCGCUUCUUUGAUGGGAUUUAAAGCACGGUUAUUCAAUUGAUGCUCUGAGAUGUGCUCAUUCAUCAAGCACCCUUGUCAAAUUUUUGUGUUUAAGAAUUUGGUUAUUAAAUUUAUGGGUUUACCUUACGACCAAACUCAUAUGAACCACAAUCCAUUGGCAUAGAUGUUUUCAAAUCUUUCUUUCUUGUUGGUGCUGCAGCGUUUUAAAGUUAUAGGUGUGAUGUUCCCUUCUGGUUUCUGGAUUUAUUAACCAGUUAAGAAGUGCAAUUUUAUCUAGCUAAGUUUUCCUUGCUUCCGACCUUUCGCUUGAUUCUAACAUGUAGAUAUACAUUUGAAUUAUGCAUGAUAAUAUGACAGAGGUGUUUGGGUAAUAUAUUUGUCAACGGUAAGAUUUUGGUUUUCCUUUGAAGUUUAAGAAAUUUAAGUAUAAAUAUUUGGUUAUGUGUAAGCUGUUAGAAAAUAUGACUCUAUUUAUCUGGUUGGACUAUAAUGCACCCUCGAAGAACAAUGGAAAUGGAGGACAUCCCACAUCCCCUCCACGUGGGUGACACAGGUAGUGGUAGCUGCAGAUAAACCUCCAUGUGUGUUGAAAGGUGUGGCCCUAUACUGGCGCAUGGAUGGCACGGGCAGCAAUAUCUACAGACAAAUCAUAAAUUUAGAGGAUUUCAACCUGAGACCUCAAGUUAAUCUGAGUUCUGAUACAAUGUUAAAUUACCAAUUUUUCUAUAAGGUUCAGUUGUAAGGAUUUAGAUCACAAUGUAUAUGAUGCUCUAACAGACCUAAGGGUUGUGAAUUGCUCAAUUGAUUGCUCCAUCUUCUUAAAGAUCAAUGGAGACAGGUAAUAAUUGUCAAAAGUGAACAAUCAUGUGAAUUUGGAAAUGCUGUAGUUGGGAAGGAGUAGUAGAAGGGAAAGGGCUUGAGCCUGCUGGCAGUUCCACUGGGGAGUGGCUGCAAUACCAUUUAAAUGAAGAAGGCUCAGUAAAAGAUCUGGGAUAUGUUUGAGAUUGCUUUGAAGGAUCCAAGUAAGGUUCUAACUUCUGGCCAUGCUUCAUUUGAUGUUUUAAGGUGAUCCCUUUGGUAAAAAAGGCCCUAUAUGGAACAUAUGGCUGAAGCUAAGCUCUGAGGGCCACACUAAUUUGAAAGGAUCCUCGUGAUUUAAUAUCAACUGCUAACAUCAUGCAUGAAGCUUUUUCUGGUUGUCUUUCUUGGGCCUUUGAAAGCAUCCCCAUGGUUGAAUAUCAGCUUCUAACAUCAUGUCUUCUUGAGGCUUUUCUGGUUGUCUUUCUUGGGCCUCUGCAAGCAUCUUCAUGGUUGAAUAUCAGCUUUUAACAUCAUGUCUUCUUGACGCUUUUCUGGUUGUCUGUCUUGGGCCUAUGCAAGCAUCCUCAUGAUUGAAUAUCAGCUUCUAACAUCAUGUCUUCUUGAGACUUUUCUCUCUUUCUUGGGCCCUCAUAUAAUAAUGCCAACUUGCAUUGUAAUUAUCACCAAUGUCCAGUGGGUUUCUCUCACAGAAAUUAUUGAACAUUGAAGUAGCUUUUCCAUUGGUUGUAAUAAUUUUAUUUCCUUUAAAUGAGUUCUUGCAGUUUCAGCAUUUCAACUGUCAAGGGGAUGCAGUUUAUAUGCAGAAAAUGGGAAAAGAUGGGAUGGCUAUCAGUGUGUGGGUAUUCAAGGAGAUUCCCAGGAAAUUUCUCAGCCAACUUUUUCUGAAGAGUGAUUGAAGCAACUAAUGUCCUGAAAAAUAUUUUGUUUCCUUCUUUAAUCUGAGACUAUUGACUUUUUAUCUAUGCUAGCAAGCUGACAUCUAGUUUCUUGUUAGAUUUAAAUUUAGAAAGUUGUCUUUGCUCUUUAGUUUUGUAUAACAUAUAAAUUUUAGGAUCAUCCAAGGACAAUGCUUGGGAAGUAAUAUUUUAUCUGAACAUUCUUUUAGAGGAAUAAUUGUUGUUUCAUGCACUAGGAUUUAGUAAGGCUUGUUUGACUUUGUUUCUAUUCUCUCCUCUGUCCCUAAUCUUUUUCAACUUCUGAAGGAUUGAUCUUUGGUUGGUUUGUUCAUAACCCCUUGGAUCAUCCCACUGAAGAACCAAUAGGACUCCACUUUUAGCUAGUUUGUAUUAUUUGUUAUUGUUUUUCAUACAAAAUGGAGUUUAUCUCUAACAGUCGUACAACUGCACCCAUUUCCAAUGGAUUUCUACUCCUCAAAGCAUCCAUUUUUUGUUGGUAAUUGAUGGCAUCAAGAACAACUUAAUUUUCUUCUUCUUCUUCUUCUUCUUCUUUUUCCCAUAGGCACAAGUGCAAUUUAAUGAGGUUACAACUUCUCCAAGGUCUGAUGCUAAAUUUUUUUGGAUGCAAGUACUAACUUAUUUGAUUGUUUCUUUCCUUAUAAAAGCAUGAGUUUAGUGACAUGUUAUCUGGACUGUUAUAACUGGAGCUAGGUACUCCACAGAGAUGCCAAAUGAGAAGGCUAGGAUUCUGUUUGUUGAACCACUCUGAAGAUGGCAUGGCAAUUUGAGGAGCUCUUCAAUGUCGAUGAUAUGAAUUGGGAGUACCUAUUGAACAAGUGCUGCUCUGAUUCUCUAUAAGACAGCUUACCAUCCUUCUGUAAAACCCUAUCUCUGUUGGGUGGGGAGGAUGGGGCAUAUGGUCUUAGAUUGGAUUUGAUAGAUAUGAUGUGGAACUAUUUGUCCUCCCAUAUUUUUAUCUUUCUUAAGUUUCUUUGGAUGGAAAUUCUUUGGUAGCUUGAUAUAACAACCAAUAUUUGCUUUUUAA